rnacentral:lncRNA from 1 species
AACCAUCUAAUACUUUAGAGUACAAAAUUCGGGACUAAUCCCGUACACAACUUAAACAAUACUAAAAAGACAUAAAAGAAUAUAUUGGGUAUUGUCCUCGAAUCUAUGAGGACUCACCAAGUCUUCAUCUUCAACACUUAGAACCUAUCAAAUAGCCAUGACAUGUCAUCAUCUCCAAAUCCCUACACUUUAGUUAAAAAGGGAAAGAAAGGGGUUAGCACAAUUAAGUACUAAGUAUGGAAGCCAUGCAAAAACAUGCUAAAAAGGAC